rnacentral:rRNA from 1 species
CCUACGGGUGGCUGCAGUGGGGAAUAUUGGACAAUGGGCGAAAGCCUGAUCCAGCCAUGCCGCGUGUGUGAAGAAGGCCUUCGGGUUGUAAAGCACUUUCAGUGGGGAAGAAAGCCUUGGGGCUAAUACCCUCGAGGAAGGACAUCACCCACAGAAGAAGCACCGGCUAACUCCGUGCCAGCAGCCGCGGUAAUACGGAGGGUGCGAGCGUUAAUCGGAAUUACUGGGCGUAAAGCGCGCGUAGGCGGUCUGAUAAGCCGGUUGUGAAAGCCCCGGGCUCAACCUGGGAACGGCAUCCGGAACUGUCAGGCUAGAGUGCAGGAGAGGAAGGUAGAAUUCCCGGUGUAGCGGUGAAAUGCGUAGAGAUCGGGAGGAAUACCAGUUGCGAAGGCGGCCUUCUGGACUGACACUGACGCUGAGGUGCGAAAGCGUGGGUAGCAAACAGGAUUAGAUACCCCUGUAGUC